GACGAACGCUGGCGGCGUGCUUAACACAUGCAAGUCGAACGGAAAGGCCCUGCUUUUGUGGGGUGCUCGAGUGGCGAACGGGUGAGUAACACGUGAGUAACCUGCCCUUGACUUUGGGAUAACUUCAGGAAACUGGGGCUAAUACCGGAUAGGAGCUCCUGCUGCAUGGUGGGGGUUGGAAAGUUUCGGCGGUUGGGGAUGGACUGGCGGCUUAUCAGCUUGUUGGUGGGGUAGUGGUUUACCAAGGCUUUGACGGGUAGCCGGCCUGGGAGGGUGACCGGGCACAUUGGGACUGAGAUAGGGACCAGACUCGUACGGGAGGCAACGGUGGGGAAUAUGGCACAAUGGGCGGGAGCCUGAUGCAGCAACGCCGCGUGCGGGAUGACGGCCUGCGGGUUGUAAACCGCUUUAGCCUGUGACGAAGCGUGAGUGACGGUAAUGGGUAAAGAAGCACCGGCUAACUACGUG
rnacentral:rRNA from 1 species